rnacentral:rRNA from 1 species
GCGUUGUCCGGAUUUAUUGGGCGUAAAGCGAGCGCAGGCGGUUAGAUAAGUCUGAAGUUAAAGGCUGUGGCUUAACCAUAGUACGCUUUGGAAACUGUUUAACUUGAGUGCAAGAGGGGAGAGUGGAAUUCCAUGUGUAGCGGUGAAAUGCGUAGAUAUAUGGAGGAACACCGGUGGCGAAAGCGGCUCUCUGGCUUGUAACUGACGCUGAGGCUCGAAAGCGUGG